AUGGAAAUGAAUCACGCAAGUGUAUCUAAAUCCCACAAGCGCACGCUCUCUGUCCAGCUCACCUCUCAGAUCUCGACCUUCCUUGAUGCGCCUCACGCGCAUCUUCAGCCUCAUCUCGCUCUCGUGCAUGUCUGUCCACAGCGGAGGAGGGAUCACCAAGUCAACGGGCAUCCAGGCGACGUGCAGAAAGCCUCCACAAUCCACUCGGAGCUCAGACGAGCGCUGGACAGGGAUCAGAGGUGGAGAUGCUUCCUCUGGCGCGUCUCUUCGCUUCUGACUUUGGCUCGGCGCGCUCCUGCCUCUCUAUUGUUGAGCCUCCUCCCUCUCGCUCCCUCCCCGUCUGUGAAUGAGCGCACUGGCUGUGCUCUACUGGGGCCUGUGUUCAGUAAUAGCUCAUGUGUAAGGCAUGCAACCACACUUCUGACUCAUCAGACAACUAUGCGUCCACCGAUGGGGAAGCGCGGCUCGGUGCGGGCCGUGUGUGUGUGUUUGCAAUCAACAAAGGAGCCCUAGUUGCUUCCCAGCGACCCCUCUGCUUACAGAUAGUCAUCGCUUUUGUAGUGGCACAUCAUCACGUGCAUGAUCUGUGUCCUGUCACUGGGAAGUCCGUGUUGACUCACGGCUAUAGCGCUUCCACAGAAGAACAGUUUGUCCUGGAAUCAAUCGGCGUUAAUCACGGGUGACGUCAUUCAUCAAUCAUUAGCCGUUAAUCAUGCAUAAUCAUAUCAUGAUUGGAUAGAUAGAGCCAAUCCAUUAUAUGUGACCCUGGACCACAAUAACUAGUCAUAAGGGUCUAAGUUUUUUUUCUUUUUCUUUUCUUUUUUUUUUUUUUAUUUUUAUUUAGUAUUCGUCUAGAAGUCUAGUAAAUUAAAUUAAUUACUUUACCUAUUUAGUAGUCGUACUUAGUUUGGGUUUAGGUAAAGGUAGGGUAGACAAAAAAAAAAAAAAAAUUAUAAUAAAAUAAAUAAAUAAAUAAAUAAAUCUAAAUAUUGAGAAAAUCACCUUUAAAGUUGUCCAAAUGAGGUCCUUAGCAAUGCAUUACUAAUCAAAAAUUAAGUUUUGAUAUAUUUACAGUAGGAAAUUUUUACAAAAUAUCUUCAUGCAACAUGAUCUGUACUUAAUAUCCGUAUGCUUUUUAACAUAAAUAAAAAAAUAAAAUAAAUACAUAAAUAAAAUAAAUAAAUAAAAUGUAUAAUUUUGACCCAUGCAGUGUAUUGCUGGCUAUUCAAAUAUACCUGUGCUACUUAUGACUGCUUUUGUGCUCCAGAGUUACAUAUGUCCUUUUCUCUGUGACAGAUGCAUAUGCAAAAACGCAUAAAGUGCUAAAAGCUUAGUUAAAUGGUGUUAUUUAUUGUUUGAUUGAUUUAUUUUGGUUAAAUAAGGUUCUUUAUCAUAUAAUGGGCAUUGAUCAUCCAUGCUGACAUCAUGAUGGGAAAGAUGAAAUCCAUUACAUGUCCUUUUAUCUGUGACAGAUGCAUGCCAACAUACAUAAAGUGCUAAAAACCUGGUUAAACUGCAGCAUAAAAAAUCAAUCUACUACCUCACGAUGUCAGUAUGGAUGAAUCCAUUAUUGGUGUAUUUCUCUACAACAGAUGCAUAUGUAAAAAUACCUUAAGUGCUACAAACUUUGGAGAAUAAUGGUGCAGUCACUUUGGUAAAACCUCACAGGCAAGAAAGAUAAAUUUUCAAACAUCAUGAUAGAAUAGUGAGAAUCCAUUACUUGUCCACUUUUCUAUGAGCAAUGUUGGGUGAAAGCUUCUUUUAAAAAUAAUGCAGUAUAUUGUGUUACUUCCUAAAAACUAACUGAUGGUGUUAUUAACUUUUUAUGGAAAGUAAUGCAUUACGUUACUUUUGCGUUACUUUUUCUCAUCUGGGCUGGGCUUGCUUGUUGGAUUUUAAUAUAAAAAAGUUAUAUUUUUGGCAAAUGCAAAAGCCAUUUCAUACCAAAAGUGAAAUAAAUGCGCCUCAGCCUAAAGUGAAAUGUAAAUUUAUUCGUAUAGUUGAAUUGGAUCAUCGAAGGGCAGCAGCAAAGACAUUGUUUCAUAAAAUUUUUGUGUCCUUUAAUAUUUAAUUAUUGCAGGUUUGCAUCAUAUUCUGAGCAACUGAGUGCUUUUGUUCAUUUUGAGGAAUACUGAAUCAGUUUUUGUGCGAGUGAGAUGCAUUAAUGAACUACAGUAACACAAUGUAAAGUGAUAGUACCUUUGUUAAACUGCAGCAUAAAGGUGCAAUCACAUUAGCUAAAUUUAGCAUGCAAAAAAGCUCCAUUGUUAAUUGUUGAUGAUAUAGUGCUGUAUGUAGCACAGCUCACACAGAAGUCACUUUUGGUGAACAACUUGAAACUGUUGAGAAAUCUUUCACACUCACACAAUUGCGUAUUGAAAUGAUUUCCUACGAAAAUUCACUGGACAACGGCUUAAUGUGACUGAACCUUAAUGCUUAUCAAGCGAUAGUUCAUGCCAAAACUACAAUUCUUUCGUAGUUCACUCAUCUUUAUGCGAUGGCAAAAGAAGAUAUCAUGAAAAAUGCUUUAUUUACAUAAUUGUUUCAUGAUCAUUCCACCUACAGGUUUGAAGCGACACAAGGGUGAAUAAAUUAUGACAGAAUGAUCUGUUUUGGCUGAACUGUCUAUUGAAGUGUUGUUUGUUUGUUGUAUACUGAGAUGCAGGUUCAGCCUGGUCUUUUCCAGCAUCUCCCCGUCGGCUGGCUGCGAUGGUGCAGUGACAUAUUUCAAGGUUGCGCAGGUUGCCAGAUCAGUGAAACUGGAGAAAGCAAAUUAGGACCCGGCGGGUUCAUGUACCAAUUUUAAUUGAGGGGCUUUUCGCUGACCGUCCUGCACGUUUCUGUUUGUCCGGUGUGUGUGUGUGUGUGUGUGUGUGUGUGUGUGUGUGUGACUCGGUGUGUGUGUGUGUGUGUGUGUGUGUGUGUGUGUGUGUGACUGCAGUGCUGUAAAUAGGUGUGCGAGUAAGGUAGCUAUUUCUGUAUGUGGAGGUGUUAAGAGAAUAUACUACAUCUUUAGUGCAGGAACAGCGACACUGACUGCUGGAUGACUGCCAGAGAGCCCCUAUAGACACACACACACACACACACACACACACACACACACACACACACACACACACACACACACACACACACACACACACACACACACACACACACACACACACACACACACACACACACAAGCAAUAUAUGCUGCCCAGCAACAGAGGACAAUAAUAAAAAAAACUGUCACGUGAAUUUAGCAAAACUGAAUGCAGGAGCUGUGAGAAGCACUAGAUGGCAGCAGACUAACAUAACACAGUCUCCCUGACGUGCUCUUCUGGAGUCUCUGGCUGUGUUCAGAAUGGAAAACUAGCUUACUGAAUAGUGAAUACUGCACAGGACAUGCUGCCUUUCUAUAGAUUUUUUCAUUGUGUGAAACAGAACACAGCAGUAAUAAAUGUUUCAAAAAAGUCACAGUAAACUGUAUACACACACACUCAC
rnacentral:lncRNA from 1 species